rnacentral:misc_RNA from 1 species
AACAUCGCGCACCUGCGGGAACCUGCGGAAGGAUCAUUGGAGAGGGGUAAUUUUUUUGUGGGGUGUGGAUGUUUUGGGAGGGGAUUGAGGGUUGAUUAGAAGGGUCGAUGUUGGGGUGCUUUGAUGUUGGAGAACUUCACCGUCGGAGUACUUCACCGUUGUAACCUUCGUCGCCUGCUAUCAACCCCCCUCCCAUAAAAAAGCUUCAACACAAUACUGAACAUCAAUCAAUCAUUUACA